rnacentral:rRNA from 1 species
GACGAACGCUGGCGGCGUGCCUAAUACAUGCAAGUCGAACGCUUCUUUCCUCCCGAGUGCUUGCACUCAAUUGGAAAGAGGAGUGGCGGACGGGUGAGUAACACGUGGGUAACCUACCCAUCAGAGGGGGAUAACACUUGGAAACAGGUGCUAAUACCGCAUAACAGUUUAUGCCGCAUGGCAUAAGAGUGAAAGGCGCUUUCGGGUGCCGCUGAUGGAUGGACCCGCGGUGCAUUAGCUAGUUGGUGAGGUAACGGCUCACCAAGGCCACGAUGCAUAGCCGACCUGAGAGGGUGAUCGGCCACACUGGGACUGAGACACGGCCCAGACUCCUACGGGAGGCAGCAGUAGGGAACCUUCGGCAAUGGACGAAAGUCUGACCGAGCAACGCCGCGUGAGUGAAGAAGGUUUUCGGAUCGUAAAACUCUGUUGUUAGAGAAGAACAAGGACGUUAGUAACUGAACGUCCCCUGACGGUAUCUAACCAGAAAGCCACGGCUAACUACGUG